GGCUUCGUAGCUAAGUUAGUAGAGCGCUUGCCGUGUUAAGACAUGGUGUUUCUGUCGCUGGUUCGAAUCCAGCCGAAGCCC
rnacentral:tRNA from 1 species